CGCAGCACUUCCGGCUCCUGCUCGGGGCAAGCGGCCUCCGCCAUGAUCCCCGGACCCGGCGGGUGGCGCCUCGCGCUUCACCACUGCGCAUGUGCAGCACCCGGUGCCUUUUCACCGCGCCGGCGCAAGAUUCCAGAUUUGGAGGGUUCACAUAUUCAAGGUGGUUGCUUGGAAGCUGUGAGUAAUAGAGACGGAAAGGAGACGCCAGCUUGCCUAGCAGUGCAUGUACUACAGACAACCCCCACCCCAGAAAUGGCCACUUCAGCAAUAACACACAAUUAACCAGAUGCUACUUUGUGGGGUUUUUUCAUUUUGUUCAGUAACAAUUUGUUGUAACAAUGCAGAUAAUAUACAGUGCAGUGAAACCUGCUCUACCUGCUAA